GACGAACGCUGGCGGCGUGCCUAAUACAUGCAAGUAGAGCGCACAGUUUAUACCGUAGCUUGCUACACCAUAGACUGUGAGUUGCGAACGGGUGAGUAACGCGUAGGUAACCUGCCUGGUAGCGGGGGAUAACUAUUGGAAACGAUAGCUAAUACCGCAUAAUAUUAAUUAUUGCAUGAUAAUUAAUUGAAAGGUGCAACUGCACCACUACCAGAUGGACCUGCGUUGUAUUAGCUAGUAGGUGAGGUAACGGCUCACCUAGGCGACGAUACAUAGCCGACCUGGGAGGGUGAUCGGCCACACUGGGACUGAGACACGGCCCAGACUCCUACGGGAGGCAGCAGUAAGGAAUCUUCGGCAAUGGACGAAAGGCUGACCGAGCAACGCCGCGUGGGGGAAGAAGGUUUUCGGAUCGUAAAGCUCUGUUGUAAGAGAAAGACGGGUGUGGGAGUGGAAAGUUCACACUGUGACGGUAUCUUACCAGAAAGGGACGGCUAACUACGUG
rnacentral:rRNA from 1 species